AGAGUUUGAUCAUGGCUCAGAAUCAACGCUGGCGGCGUGCCUAACACAUGCAAGUCGAACGCGACUUGGGCUUCGGCCUAAGUUGAGUGGCGAACGGGUGAGUAACACGUGGGUGACCUACCUUCGAGUGGGGGAUAACGUCCCGAAAGGGACGCUAAUACCGCAUAACAUCCUGCCUUUGAACAGGUGGAGAUCAAAGCCGGGGAUCGCAAGACCUGGCGCUUGAUGAGGGGCCCGCGCCUGAUUAGCUAGUUGGUGGGGUAAUGGCUCACCAAGGCGACGAUCAGUAUCCGGCCUGAGAGGGCGGACGGACACACUGGGACUGAGACACGGCCCAGACUCCUACGGGAGGCAGCAGUGGGGAAUUGUUCGCAAUGGGCGCAAGCCUGACGACGCAACGCCGCGUGGAGGAUGAAGGUCUUCGGAUUGUAAACUCCUGUUGCUCGGGACGAAAAGCUCCGACCUAACACGUCGGAGUCUGACGGUACCGAGUGAGGAAGCCCCGGCUAACUCUGUGCCAGCCGCCGCGGUAAUUC
rnacentral:rRNA from 1 species